rnacentral:rRNA from 1 species
CAAAUCCUACGGGAGGCAGCAGUGGGGAAUAUUGCACAAUGGGGGAAACCCUGAUGCAGCAACGCCGCGUGAAGGAAGACGGUUUUCGGAUUGUAAACUUCUUUUCUUAGUGAAGAAGCAAGUGACGGUAGCUAAGGAAUAAGCAUCGGCUAACUACGUGCCAGCAGCCGCGGUAAUACGUAGGAUGCGAGCGUUAUCCGGAAUUACUGGGUGUAAAGGGAGCGUAGACGGCCAGACAAGUCU